rnacentral:lncRNA from 1 species
GGGAAUUCAUUGCUAACUAAAUGGACAGCUAUCUAUUUGCUUUUGGUGUUUUGUUGUGUGUGUGUUUUUUUUUUGUAAUAAAUUUUUUUAUACACCCAAGGGUAACCUAAAUUAUGUACAAAGAUCAAAAAACACUAAUAUAUACAAAAUCACAAACUACACAACAUAAUUUAGAGCAUAAACACAAUACACUGAUAUAUACAGAAUCAUAAAAUACAUAUAAGUACAUAAGUUUGUUUGUGUCACAACAAUAUAUACAAGGCUACCACCCCUAACUAAAAAGCAUGCAUUGUUCCCAAUGCAUAAUAACAUAGAGUAGAGUUUAAUGGGCGCACUAUGCACUAUGAGAUCAGCCGGCUGAGUGAUGGUAGAGUCACCCAUUGAUGCCGAAGCUGGGAUUGAUGAGAUCUUGGCCUGAGGAGUGACCUCCACUGAUCGAGGGUGGAUCUCUGGCUGGCCCAGUAUUGGAGCUGGGGCCUAUGAGCUGCUAGUCUCGCCCACUGAUGGCUAAGUGGACGAUGGAUCCGCAAGGGCGGACAAAUCUGCUAGCGAAUGUCUAUCGCCAUCUGAAUGACUGCUUGCUCCUCUGUAGGAGCAGCAAUAUGCUUGCCCUUCUCCUGAGGGCCAGCAUCAUCCGUGGACCAUGAAUCCUCCUCAUCCUCUCCCUCAUCUGCCUCCUCAUCCUCAGACUCAGUAGAUCAUCCGAAAACCUCAUCAUCAGGAAUAUCAAAACGUACAUGAGGGGUUGGAGGCUGGGAAGUCCAGCAGUCUAAGGUGUAAUAUCUGCCAUCAAAGUAAUAAAAUCAAGACCCAAAUCUGGAGCUGCUGUGUCUGCACCCUGCUCACCUUCCUUGGGCAAAAGGGAUGAUAUAUCGAACUCCAAAGUCUACAUAUUAUGGAGCUCGGUCUUCAUUGUGGCAACCUGCUCUUGGAGCAUAGGUAGGU